UAGAGUCAAAAUCCGACUCAAAAAGACCAAUCUGUGAAGGCCUCGGCGCGGCGCACUCUAGUCCACACCUCUAUGACGCAGCACCACCAAAACACGGAGCAGCACUUCCCUCCUCGCCCUCACCAACACGUCAAGCUGCCUGUUGCUCCCCGCCUCGUCCUCCAGCAGGUCACUGUACGCUGUGGAUUAUUGACACCAUUAUUCCAAUACGACCAACGAGAUGACAGUGAAGACAGUUGACGGAAGUAAGCGAGACAAUCCCAAACCCUAUUGUGAGAAUGCAAGCAAAAGACUGGCGGAGGUGAAACACAAUAUUAAGGCAAAAAAGGAACGAACCAAUGGCCCGCCGACCAAGGUGGUGGUGCGACGUCUGCCCCCAACCAUGACAGAGGAGGAGUUCCUCGAAGCUGUCACACCACUGCCAGAGCAUGACUACUUCUCCUUCUGCCCUUCUGACGGCAGUCUUGGCUCAAUCAAUUCAUUCACUCGUGUUUACAUUAACUUUAAGAGCCAGGGAGACAUCUUCAUUUUCAGGGACAAAUUUGAUGGCUAUGUUUUCGUUGACAAGAAAGGCAAUGAGUACCCAGCCAUGGUGGAAUUUGCCCCUUUUCAAAAGGUGCCAAGGAAGGGCGGCAGCAAAAAAAAGGAUGCCCGCUGUGGCACGAUUGACCAGGAUCCUGACUACUUAGCAUUCCUUGAGUCCAUAGAGAACCCUGAGACCGUCACUCUGCAGUCUCUGGAAGUUGUGCUGGAGGAGAUACAAGCCCAUGAUAGGGAACUCAAAGCAAACAACGGCUACCUGAAGGUGAAGACGCCACUGCUGGAAUACAUUGAGCAGAAGAAGGCUGAGAAGUUGAGGAGCAAGGAAGAGAAGAGGGAGGAGAGGAGAAGAAAAGAGUUUGAGAGAAAGAAAGCAAAGGAGGAGGAGAAGAGGAAAAAAAAGGAAGUAAAGGACCAGAAAGAUAUGAAGAAGAAAGAGGACCAAAAGGAAGACAUUUCUGGAGUCAAGCUGCAGGUCCUCCAGCCAGAAAGGGUGAAGGAGGAUGGCGGUGGCGGCCGGGGGGACGCACGGCCAACCAGGAAGGAGAGGGAGAGGGAGCGUUAUGAGAAAGAAAAGCAGCGAAGGAUAGAGGAAGAUCACCAGAGGAGGGAGAGGGAGAAGGAAAAAGGGAAGUUCACAAGGAAGGACAAGGAGAGGGAGCGAGAGGAGAGGAUCAGGAGGCAGGAAGAAAAGUUCCGCAUGAGGGAGGAAGAGAGAAUCAGACACAGGGAGGAGGGAAGGGAGGAGAGAGGCAGCCACAGAGAGGGAAGAGACGAACGAAUGAGAUACAAAGAGGAAGCGAGAGAUGAACGAAUGAGGCACAGAGAUGAAGACAGGGAAGAGCUGAAUAAAAACAGGGAGGAAAGAAAGGAGGAGCGAGUGAGGUACAGGGAGGAGGAGGGAGUGCAGGAGAGCCACCGGGCCCACAAAACAGAAGGUGUCAAGUCCAAGCGAUACAGUGAAGGGAGGAAGAAAGAGGAGAGGGACAGGAGGGUCAAGGAAGAGAGAGGGAAGAAGAAAGAAGAGGAACAAGUGGCUUCACCAGAGACAGAGGAGCAGCAGAAGGGGGAGCCAGAGAGUAGGGAGAAAGGGGAACCUGAGAGCAAAGGGGAGGCCGAGGCAGCACCAGAAAGGCCGGUCACUCACAAGAAAAGGGAAAAGGACCCGAGAGUAGAAAGGAGGAUCAGGAACAAGGACCGGCCAGCCAUGGCUCUUUACCGACCAGGGCAGUCCCGCCUCAGCAGCCGCAUUAGAAAUGAACGCGAGGAGGGGGCAGAAACCUCUUCUUCCAGCCCAAGUCCAGUCAUGCUGGAUGCCAAAAAGACAACAGGGUCAUCCAAGAAGUCUGAAGGGUCCAACAACCAAAAGACACUUGACAAAGACCCUCAUGAAGCAACCAGCAGUAAUAAUGACAACCCUUCUGCUCCUGCCUCGUAUGAUGGUGAUGACGGUCAAAGGGAUGGUGAUGGUGAUGACGAUGGGAAGGAAGCAGCACCAAGCAGUCAGUGAGCGUUAUUUCUGCUUCCAUGCUUGGCAAGGCAGUUUUUCAGAUGCCACAACUGUCACUAAGUUGGCAGUGGUCUAAAACUCUUUGCUGUUGCACUGUUGCAUACUUUGGUAUCUAGCUGAAAUUUCUUAUUGUAGCCAUGUUUUUUGCUUUGACAUAGUUUUUCACAAUAUAUUUUUGUAUUCAUUAGAGCAAUGACAUUUGGUAUAUAAGGUUUAGUGUAGCUUCUACUUUUCUCUCAGUACAAAGGGUAAACCUUGUAGGAUAUUGAGUGGCUGAGCUGUUGGUAUAUGUUCCACAGCCAAAGUUCUGUCAAUCAUUGUACUCAUUUUUGUUCCUGAAAAGUUCGCUCCCUUGUGGCACAUCUUUUCAACAGUAAACAAAUUAACUUACCCCACCAUGGCAACUGCAUCAUAGUGGGUAGCUUUACUUGAAUGCUUGCACCACGGUUCUGAAAAUGCAUAGCAGUACAAGUGUGCUGAUUAGCAAAAUUCGGGAGUGGGAUGUGUAACGUGCCCAUUGGCUUAGCAGGUGUACCCUUUGUAUUUUAGAGAAAAAUGGAAAAACAAACUUGACACAAGUAAAAUAAUCAUGACAAACUAAUCAUUGUAAUAAACACAGAAACACAUCAAGUGGAACACUUAUGUCAGAGCGAAGAUAUUGGUGCAUCAUGAAAUCUGUACUAGCUAUCACGAGGUAUGCAGAGGAACAAAGUAACAGAGCAGCUGAAAGAGCAUUAGGACCACCACCAACUGAAUCUUCUUUGUACUUGAUGCAAGUGUAAAAAAACAGAUGCUGCAUGAUUUUAAUAAGGGAAUAGUGUAGUAAGGUCAACAUAAACACUACCAAAUGGUAUGCUAGUUCCAUUAAACACUUUUAUUAUUUUUUAUAAGACAUGACUCAUGAAUGAGAUAUUAAUCUCAAAUACUAGUAAUUAAUGAAAAAAAUGUAAUUUAUAAAUUUGUACUUUCAUAAAAAAAAUAUUACACUUCUGACAUGUCACUUCAUCUAAAAGUGCCUGUCGGUUGCAAAAGUACAUACAAAAUAAUAACUUUUAAUAAUAUGUAUAAGAGAAGGUGUGAAAACAGGUAGUAUGAGUGGUGUAGGGAGGCACAGGAUGUGGCAGUUAUUAUGUUUCCUCCUGUGUUUUGACAGUCUUCUUCAGAGCCAAUGACACAAUGCACAGAGACGGCUGCUUACAUAUCCCCUGGUGGAUCAUCUCGCAGGUCACCUUCGAAUGGAGUUCACUAAUACAGUAGAUACAA